UGGACUAUUGUGUGGGUGUGACUGUUAGCUCUAGGGCGGCCGCCCAUUUCCCCAUGAAGCCUGGGCAGUCUUCUACGUUGCAUGAGGAAUUGCUAAAGGAAAGAAAGGCUUCUCUCUAUGGGCUCGCAUUCCAUGCAUAGCACUUAUAAGGUCUCGCGACACUAAGUGUGUUUGUGGUAUUGAGGUGACAAACUGUGCUAACUGUCUAUAGCGAAACUGAUGCAAAAGGUUUAGCGUGGUAGGGCUUGGCAGGUCAUUCAUGGGUUUGACCUUCACGUGUCGCAUGUCUGAGUUGGGGGAGAUUGUUUCCUAGUAAUCUUUGAAGCACUCACGCCUCUAACCUGG